UGAGACUUCCCACCAGCAGCUGUUUCCUAUUACCCAGAAGGGCUGACAAGGUGCAGGCCUCCAAUGGAGCCUCCGUUGGCAGAUUUAUUAUUGUAUUAUGAGAAAGCCUGGCCCAUUGGGAAAGACAUUUCCCAAUGUUUGACUGACAAAAACGUCUCCAGGAAUCAGCCUUUAAGACUCACCUGCCUCUUCUGCCUUUUGAAAUAGUCGCUUGAGAUUUCUUGUGUUUGCAAAGUUUCACAAAUUGGACCUUGGUGCAUGCCCUUUCAAGGACCUCAGACUACAAUCUGAACCUUCCGAUUCUUUUGUUUUAGAAGAUCAGUGCUAAACGCAUUCAGCGUUGUUCUGCUUGAAUAUUUUUGAAGGAUUCGCUGUAUUUGACAUUUAUUUUCUGUGUUUGUUGCCCUGUAAUAUUUAUUAUGCUUAACGUCAUCAAAUGCAUGCCAUAGAAUGUUGUUUGCUAACAUUAAAUAAAGAGUUGAUCUGCAA
rnacentral:lncRNA from 11 species